rnacentral:rRNA from 1 species
UACGUAGGGAGCGAGCGUUGUCCGGAUUCAUUGGGCGUAAAGAGCUCGUAGGCGGCUUGGUAAGUCGGAUGUGAAACCUCCAGGCUCAACCUGGAGUCGCCAUCCGAUACUGCCAUGGCUAGAGUCCGGUAGGGGCCCACGGAAUUCCUGGUGUAGCGGUGAAAUGCGCAGAUAUCAGGAGGAACACCGAUGGCGAAGGCAGUGGGCUGGGCCGGCACUAACGCUGAGGAGCGAAAGCGUGGGGAGCGAACAGG